ACAGGGCCCUCAGACGUUAUCUCCUCCCAUUCUCACUGCAAAAAGCUUAUCCUUUCCUCUCCAUUUACUCCAUCACCUUCGUUUCAAAAUCCCCACUACCUCCGCCGACGACACCGUCAUCUUCACCCUCUCACCAAAACAACCUUGCUUCCAUCACCGGAUUACCUAAAAAGCUUAUCCUUUCCUCUCCAUUUACUCCAUCACCUUCGUUUCAAAAUCCCCACUACCUCCGCCGACGACACCGUCAUCUUCACCCUCUCACCAAAACAACCUUGCUUCCAUCACCGGAUUACC
rnacentral:lncRNA from 1 species